UUGUCUCAAAGAUUAAGCCAUGCAUGUCUCAGUACAAACCGCAUUAAGGUGAAACCGCGAAAGGCUCAUUAUAUCAGUUAUGGUUCAUUAGAUCGUACUCCACAUUUACUUGGAUAACUGUGGUAAUUCUAGAGCUAAUACAUGCAAACAGAACUCCGACCGGAGACGGAAGGAGCGCUUUUAUUAGAUCAAAACCAAUAGGCGUCGGCGGCCGGUCGGCUCGUUUCGGUCGCGCCGUCGGCGUUACAUAGCUCGCACGACGAAUCUGAAUAACUUUAUGCCGAUCGCACGGUCACGCACCGGCGACGCAUCUUUCAAAUGUCUGCCUUAUCAACUUUCGAUGGUAGGUUAUGCGCCUACCAUGGUUGUAACGGGUAACGGGGAAUCAGGGUUCGAUUCCGGAGAGGGAGCCUGAGAAACGGCUACCACAUCCAAGGAAGGCAGCAGGCGCGCAAAUUACCCACUCCCGGCACGGGGAGGUAGUGACGAAAAAUAACGAUACGGGACUCAUCCGAGGCCCCGUGAUCGGAAUGAGCACACUUUAAAUCCUUUAACUAGGAUCAAUUGGAGGGCAAGUCUGGUGCCAGCAGCCGCGGUAAUUCCAGCUCCAAUAGCGUAUAUUAAAGUUGCUGCGGUUAAAAAGCUCGUAGUCGAAAUUGUGUCCCGGGCCGCCGGUUCGUCGCUCGCGACGUCAACUGGCGCGCACGCGGGACGUCAAGCCGGUGCCACGAACCCGCCGACGGUGCUCUUAACCGAGUGUCCAGGCGGGGGCCGGCAACGUUACUUUGAACAAAUUAAAGUGCUCAAAGCAGGCUAAACUGCGCUCGUAUAAUUAGUGCAUGGAAUAAUCGAAUAGGACCUCUGUUCUAUUUUGUUGGCUUUUGUAGAACGCACAGAGGUAAUGAUCAAUGGGUGCGGAUGGGGGCAUUCGUAUUGCGACGUUAGAGGUGAAAUUCUUGGAUCGUCGCAAGACGCACUAAAGCGAAAGCAUUUGCCAAAAACGCUUUCAUCGAUCAAGAACGAAAGUUAGAGGUUCGAAGGCGAUCAGAUACCGCCCUAGUUCUAACCAUAAACUAUGCCAGCCAGCGAUCCGCCGCAGUUUACUUCUAUGACUCGGCGGGCAGCUCCCGGGAAACCAAAGCUUUUGGGUUCCGGGGGAAGUAUGGUUGCAAAGCUGAAACUUAAAGGAAUUGACGGAAGGGCACCACCAGGAGUGGAGCCUGCGGCUUAAUUUGACUCAACACGGGAAACCUCACCAGGCCCGGACACCGAAAGGAUUGACAGAUUGAGAGCUCUUUCUUGAUUCGGUGGGUGGUGGUGCAUGGCCGUUCUUAGUUGGUGGAGCGAUUUGUCUGGUUAAUUCCGAUAACGAAC
rnacentral:rRNA from 1 species